UACGGGGGGGGCAAGCGUUGUUCGGAAUCACUGGGCGUAAAGGGCGCGUAGGCGGCUUUAUAAGUCGGGGGUGAAAGCCUGUGGCUCAACCACAGAAUUGCCUUCGAUACUGUAGAGCUUGAGACCGGAAGAGGUAAGUGGAACUGCGAGUGUAGAGGUGAAAUUCGUAGAUAUUCGCAAGAACACCAGUGGCCGAAGGCGGCUUACUGGUCCGGUUCUGGACGCUGAGGCGCGGAAAGCGUGGGGAGCAAACAGG
rnacentral:rRNA from 1 species